GCCGGGGUGUGUGGCAGAGGCUGGUGUGGGCUCGUGGACAGGCUUCUCACUCCUUUGCUACUGCAGCAAUGCCUUGUCUCUGCUGCCUGUGAUCCCCAGGUCUGAGCUAAUCAGGGUCCAGUGUCCUCCCAUCUCUCCUGGGAGUGUGGACGCCUUGAGGUCUCAAGUGUGACUCCAGUUUGGUCCCCAGCCCAGACAGUCUGCCCUAAAGUCGUCCACUACAGAACACUUUUCUGCCAACCAUGCUGCAUCCAGCUAGAUUUAAAAAAUGAAGUCAUCAUUGGGAUAUUCACUGAGCACUGAUGCAUACUAUGGCAGACACUGUGGCUACAACACUGAAUAAGACUAUAAAAAAAUGAGUCUCCUGGUUUACAUCUGGAGUGGGACAUCUCAAAGUAGACAUGCACCUUUCAGAGAUUCUGAGGCUUCCUCAGCAGAGUAGCUGGAAAUAAGAACACCUGUUCUCCACUGAGUUUUGACACCUCUGAUCUGAGCAAACUAUACAAAAGUUGGAGAGAAAAAAACAGAAGAGUGAAAUUUCUACUCUUCUGGCACAAAUGACAGCUCAUCUGUGAAGCAUUCUGGCCCAGCCAUAGAGCUUUUUUUACCAUACAGUGUCUUCCAUGAAGUAGGUGUCCUAUAAGAUUAAUCUGACGUGUAAGUGAAUGAAGAAAAUGGCAGUGUUCCUGAGCAUGCACCUGGAAGAAGGCGGUGGGAACUUG
rnacentral:lncRNA from 1 species